UGUGUUGUAACACUGAGACACAACAUAUUAGCUUUUCUGCUUCGUUUUUGCUCCUCUUGCUUCUUCGCGUCUCUCUUUUCUUCUCUUCCUCCUUGGCUGCUCCAUUUGUUAUUAUCCAUGAAGUGUUGUAUGUAGAUGUACCACACAAUUGAGAGUGUUGAAGUUCACAGAAGAAUCCGCAACCUCUCGGCAAGAAGAGAUCAGAUUCCGACAUAAUCGCCGUUUCAGGUGUAAUUUCAAAUCUCUCCUCUUUAUGCAUUUUGUCUGUAACCCAGUUCUCACUUCAGCUGACAUUUACAUGCAAGAUGUUUGGUCAUGAUGGAGAUCACUCGAUUUGACUCAUGUAUUUAGGAAGUGUAAAGUCAAGGGAAAUUCUAGAGCACCAAUACAGACACCAGCAACUUUGAUGUUCAUGGAUUGGUACAUUCCUAUUACUUUUAUCGACUUUCUGAUGUUAUGUUCUUGGUUCUGCUUUAAUCUUUUAGUUUAGUCAACUUUACUUUCGAACCUUGAAAGGUUGUGGCCAUAUAAGUGCAUUAUGACUGUAUGUAGAAUUCCAUGGAAGGUUCUCGAAUAAAGCUGGCUCUUCCUAUCAUAUUAUUCUUUUACCUAUCUUAUUAUUUGAGUUGAUAUAGUAAGAGUUUUGAUUUCAUACUUUUAAUAUUAGCACAAGCAUUUCAGCUACUUUGGCUAAUGACUGAUUUUCAUGCUCCCUUGAACUCUUUAUUCUGGGAUGUUGAUUUGCAAAAUUAGAAAACAAUUGCACUGCUUUUUAGCUGCAACAUCCAAUUAUUUACUGCCUCUUCACACAUAAAGAUUGUUUCACUGGUUGGUCUAUGCAUAUUGGGAGAUUCAUUUUUCCCGGUCUGCAAAGGUACAGAAAAUAUCUUAGUGACAACAAGAUUAGUGCAUGUAGUAUUGCCUUAGUAAACUGCCCUAGGAUCUUUUGACUGUUGGGACAUACAUGUUUCUCGGUUAACUCGAUCUGUGGCACAUUUUCUAUUAUGAUAUCUAUUAGCACAAAUGAAGAAUAAAGGGAGAAUAUGAAUCUCU